AUUGAACGCUGGCGGCAGGCUUAACACAUGCAAGUCGAGCGGGGUGAUGGUGCUUGCACUAUCACUUAGCGGCGGACGGGUGAGUAAUGCUUAGGAAUCUGCCUAUUAGUGGGGGACAACAUCUCGAAAGGGAUGCUAAUACCGCAUACGUCCUACGGGAGAAAGCAGGGGAUCACUUGUGACCUUGUGCUAAUAGAUGAGCCUAAGUCGGAUUAGCUAGUUGGUGGGGUAAAGGCCUACCAAGGCAACGAUCUGUAGCGGGUCUGAGAGGAUGAUCCGCCACACUGGGACUGAGACACGGCCCAGACUCCUACGGGAGGCAGCAGUGGGGAAUAUUGGACAAUGGGGGGAACCCUGAUCCAGCCAUGCCGCGUGAGUGAAGAAGGCCUUAUGGUUGUAAAGCACUUUAAGCGAGGAGGAGGCUUACCUAGUUAAUACCUGGGAUAAGUGGACGUUACUCGCAGAAUAAGCACCGGCUAACUCUGUGCCAGCAGCCGCCGUAA
rnacentral:rRNA from 1 species